UACGGAGGGAGCUAGCGUUGUUCGGAAUUACUGGGCGUAAAGCGCGCGUAGGCGGCUUUGUAAGUUAGAGGUGAAAGCCCGGGGCUCAACCCCGGAACUGCCUUUAAGACUGCAUCGCUUGAAUCCGGGAGAGGUGAGUGGAAUUCCGAGUGUAGAGGUGAAAUUCGUAGAUAUUCGGAAGAACACCAGUGACGAAGGCGGCUCACUGGACCGGUAUUGACGCUGAGGUGCGAAAGCGUGGGGAGCAAACAGG
rnacentral:rRNA from 1 species